rnacentral:tRNA from 1 species
AGGCGCGUAGCUCAGCGGUAGAGCACUACCUUGACACGGUAGGGGUCGUUGGUUCGAACCCAAUCGCGCCUA